AGGACGAACGCUGGCGGCGUGCCUAACACAUGCAAGUCGAACGAGGUCCAACCGGUGGCAACACUGGUGAAGACCGAGUGGCGAACGGGUGAGUAUCACGUGAGCAACCUGCCCCGAAGACUGGGAUAACCCCGGGAAACCGGAGCUAAUACCGGAUAUCCCCACCGGGUCGCAUGGCCUGGUGAGGAAAUGGAUUCCGCUUUGGGAGGGGCUCGCGGCCUAUCAGCUUGAUGGUGGGGUAACGGCCUACCAUGGCACCGACGGGUAGCUGGUCUGAGAGGACGAUCAGCCACACUGGGACUGAGACACGGCCCAGACUCCUACGGGAGGCAGCAGUGGGGAAUCUUGCGCAAUGGGCGAAAGCCUGACGCAGCAACGCCGCGUGAGGGACGAAGGCCUUCUGGGUUGUAAACCUCUUUCAGCAGGGACGAUUGUGACGGUACCUGCAGAAGAAGCCCGGCAACUACGUGCCAGCAGCCGCGGU
rnacentral:rRNA from 1 species